AAGCGCCAAUGUUGAAAUAAAAAGGACACCUUUACCUGAGGUCCUUCAUCAGGUUUCUAGUAGCAGAGAAGAAAGCUUGCUAGUCUUGUGUUACAACUAGUUUCGCGUCUUUAUUGCCUUUAAGUGUAUUUUUACGUUUUAUUUUAGAUAACGCUCUUAUACUUUCACACAAGACGUAUUUGUAAUAUAGUUGUAGUUAUUGCUCUCGGUGCUGCUCUUAAUCUAUCUGAAAAUGCUAUCUACUAGGACCCCGCUUUCCGCCAAGAACAAGAACUUCGUCUCUAUUAAAGUUGACGGCAUGUCCCUGACUGACAAAGAAAACACAUCCCCAAGCCUGAACACUACUCGGAUUUUGGCCUCCAAAACAGCGCGUAAGAUCUUCGAAGAUUCCGAGGUAGAGCGGUUUACCCAGGAAGUGCAGGUCACAGAGGCACGUUGCUUCUAUGGCUUCCAGAUCGCCAUGGAGAACAUCCAUUCUGAGAUGUACAGCUUGCUUAUUGACACUUACAUCAAGGACCCCAAACAGAGGUUGACCUUUCAAAAGACCUCAUGCAUUGGGAAUCGCUGAAGGAUGGAGAGGCACUUUAUCUCACGUGUUCGCUGCCAGUGAUGGCAUUGUCAAUGAGAACUUGGGACCACCUGUUCAAUGCCAUUGAGACCAUGCCAUGUGUAAAGGAGAAGGCUGACUGGGCUAUUAAUAAUAAUAAUAAUAAUAAUAAUAAUAAUAAUACAUUUACAAAUGCAGCUAUGUGUACUUUAUUUUUUUGACGGUGAAUAGUUUUUUGUUAUGUUGGCAUGGAAGUUGUUUACCUUAUGUUGUACAUUUUAUUAAAACGACAGCCAACACUUGAUGUUUCUUGCAUGUUUUUACAAUUAUAUGGUUUUGGUGGAGGUGAUUUUGUAUGUUCAAGUUCUUUUUGCAUUUGAAAGCUACGGUAGUUGAGCAUCACAGGGCGCCUUGACUUGCGUGUCCAAACAUGACUUCAGUGUAUGUGAUGUGUUUGCCCUGUCCUAUUUACCCACAAAGCUUUGCGUCGGAGCACAAUUUGUCACAUUAGCAGAGGCGUAACCGGCGCAAAGCAACGUUGUUUUGAAUUUUGACUCGAUCGCUUUAAAGGGGAAGUUCCAGUGAUAAGCAAGUCCAUUUAAAAAAGUGCGAGUUGGCCGACUUAUCGAAAAUUAGAGCAAUAAAAACAGCAUUCAAAACUCUUUUAAAAGAUGUAUGGAAUGCAGCACACAUUGUGUUUCUUUGCAAAGGAUGUACUAGCUAUUGUACA